rnacentral:rRNA from 1 species
CAGUAGCCGCGGUAAUACGUAGGUCCCGAGCGUUGUCCGGAUUUAUUGGGCGUAAAGGGAGCGCAGGCGGUUUAGUAAGUCUGAAGUUAAAGGCAUUGGCUCGACCAAUGUAUGCUUUGGAAACUGUUAGACUUGAGUGCAGAAGGGGAGAGUGGAAUUCCGUGUGUAGCGGUGAAAUGCGUAGAUAUAUGGAGGAACACCGGUGGCGAAAGCGGCUCUCUGGUCUGUCUCUGACGCUGAGGCUCGAAAGCGUGGGUAGCGAACAGGAUUAGAUACCCCAGUAGUCCCUGUCUCUUAUACC